CUUAGAUUUAGUGAGAGUGGCGCACGGGUGCGUAACGCGUGAGCAACCUACCCAUAUCAGGGGGAUAGCCCGGAGAAAUCCGGAUUAACACCGCAUGACACAACGACUCGGCAUCGAGAUGUUGUUAAAUAUUUAUAGGAUAUGGAUGGGCUCGCGUGACAUUAGCUAGUUGGUAAGGUAACGGCUUACCAAGGCUACGAUGUCUAGGGGCUCUGAGAGGAGAAUCCCCCACACUGGUACUGAGACACGGACCAGACUCCUACGGGAGGCAGCAGUAAGGAAUAUUGGUCAAUGGAGGGAACUCUGAACCAGCCAUGCCGCGUGCAGGAUGACUGCCCUAUGGGUUGUAAACUGCUUUUGUCCAGGAAUAACCACCACUACGUGUAGUGGCUUGAAUGUACUGGAAGAAUAAGGAUCGGCUAACUCCGUGCCAGCAGCCGCGGUAAUACGGAGGAUCCGAGCGUUAUCCGGAUUUAUUGGGUUUAAAGGGUGCGUAGGCGGCUCAUUAAGUCAGGGGUGAAAGACGGCAGCUCAACUGUCGCAGUGCCUUUGAUACUGAUGAGCUUGAAUGUGGUUGAAGAUGGCGGAAUGAGACAAGUAGCGGUGAAAUGCAUAGAUAUGUCUCAGAACUCCGAUUGCGAAGGCAGCUGUCUAAGUCAUUAUUGACGCUGAUGCACGAAAGCGUGGGGAUCGAACAGGAUUAGAUACCCUGGUAGUCCACGCCCUAAACGAUGAUAACUCGAUGUUGGCGAUACACAGUCAGCGUCUUAGCGAAAGCGUUAAGUUAUCCACCUGGGGAGUACGCCCGCAAGGGUGAAACUCAAAGGAAUUGACGGGGGCCCGCACAAGCGGAGGAGCAUGUGGUUUAAUUCGAUGAUACGCGAGGAACCUUACCCGGGCUUGAAAGUUACUGAAUUAUCUAGAGAUAGAUAAGUCCUUCGGGACAGGAAACUAGGUGCUGCAUGGCUGUCGUCAGCUCGUGC
rnacentral:rRNA from 1 species